GGCAAACAGGGACUCGGAGACGCUUCAGAGCCCCCGGCUCACCUGGGGGUCACCCCCCUCACCCCUUCAGCAACGUCGGGGUGAGGGGGUGCAGAGUUGCCUCUGUGUUCUCUUCUAGAAAUGCGAAUCACCUGACCUCAUCGAGUUGUUGUGAAACUGAGUGGGCACGCAGGGAGGACGCAGAAGAUGCCCCUUCUCUUCCUUCCUUUUUACCAGAAUGAAGGAGGGCCAGGCUUUCGGGAGCUCAUCCCAGGAACGCCCUGUUCCUCACCCACCACCUCUUUCUGAAGCCCACCCUGACCUCCUCUGGCUCUUGAGGUGACCUGGACUUCCUCUGUCGAAGAAUGUUGCCUCUUUCACGUGCUAAUCUCCCAUUCCAAGCUGGACCCCCUGACUGGGACCCCAAAGAGGGCUGUAUCUCCAGAGGCCGAUGAGGAAGCAGAGGUUCUGAGAAGCGAAAGGGCUGGCCCGUGUCUGGAAGCAGAGAUGGUGGCUCAGCUGGAGACGCCCAAGGGAGCGCCCCAGCCUCCUGGGUUAGUGCUCUAAAGGAGGGGGGAGCUGUCCCCUGCCUGUUCUUGUGUCUGGCCAAUACCCCAGCCUCUGUUUACCCAGCCCAACACCCAAGAGCUGCCUCUUCCGCCUGCCCUGGAGUCUCGGGUGCCUUCACAAUAGGAUGCUCUGUCUGUGCAGCUGGUUUUCAUUCAAGCCCUUUGUGCUGAAAAUAAAAAAAUGAAAAGAAAACUUGGCUCCUCCCUCCCUGCUUUGCUUCCCAGGGAGAGAGGAUCCCAGCCUUUUCUUUCCCGCAUUCUGGGGCCCAGAGAUGUCCAUCGUCUGUCCA
ensembl:lncRNA